AUCAGGUUUGCAUGUCAGGAAGAUUGCUUUGGCCACAGUGCAGAGGGUGCGUUGGACAGAGAAGGAAAGUGGGAGGGGUCUCACUGAGACCCUUCUGGAGAUCCACGGGUUCACAUCUUCUUUACUUUCCUCAACAGCCCCUCCAGGUGCCUGUGCAAGAUGUGGGAACUGCAGCACAGGGAGGGAGGAACGGCUACAGUUCGCCGGCCACAGGCCAGUGCAUGCGUGCUCAGUGGCCUCCAGCCGUGGCCACAUCCCAGGAAGAGGCAAUGCGAGUCUGAUCUAAGGCAGGAAGAGGCGCGGCAAGGCGGAGAGGACAGACUCCAGAUGGGCUUAAAACCAGAUUCCUAUCCUCAGGUCGAGUGGUCACCUAACCACCGGAACACCUGGCGGAGAUGCAAACACACGGGACCGCCCGAGCAUCACUUCGGAGAAGGACAGGUAUGUUCUUGUCCCCAUUUGACCUCUUUUCCUGGGGUCCUCACACCACAAUGAAACGAAACCAGAUCAUUCCGGGGAUCUGCCAGGGGAAGUUCCAAGAAGGGAGGAUGAGGGCAGGAAGCAGGCUAGUGCCUUGGAAACAGGUGUGUGCGUGUGUGUGUGUGUGUGUGGCACAUGCACACAUGUGAACCAGAGUUAAAAGAAUCAAGAUUUUUCUCUUGGUUUUUCUUGUGUUUUUGUUUCUCUUUUCUUUUUUCCCCCUUACUUUCCUUUUCUUCUCUUUUUCUUUCUUUUCUCAGGUCUAGUCCUUUCUGGGGCAUUCUCUAAAAGAUCUUGUGUGAAGGGAGGGUCUUCCCAGAAACUAGUCUGAGUGUGAAGGGACAGGGUCCCCAAACCCAAUAAGGCAGGGGGGACCUCGGGGGUGGGCUGGGGCCCCUGACCCCCUCUGGAAUUGCUUAACAUUUAUACCUUAUUAAUCACCUAGUCCCACAUGUACAUAACAAAAGCAAAUUAACCCUAUUAAAAGGUUUAUUGAAUUGCGAUGAUAUAUUAUCUUUGUGUUUGUUGCUUAUAGAUUCAUCUACUCACACAUGCUAAGAAUGGGGAAACCUUGUUUUCUGUCUUAUUCUUUCACCCAUUCACGCAUCCAUAAGUCAUUCUUCAUUUAACAAAUGUGUAUUAAGAAAGUGCUAUGGGGGCGCCUGGGUGGCACAGCGGUUAGGCGUCUGCCUUCGGCUCAGGGCGUGAUCCUGGAGUUAUGGGAUCGAGCCCCGCGUCAGGCUCCUCCGCUAUGAGCCUUCUUCCUCUCCCAAUCCCCCUGCUUGUGCUCCGUCUCUCGCUGGCUGUCUCUCUCUCUCUCUCUGUCAAAUAAAUAAAUAAAUAAAUAAAAAUCUUAAAAAAAA
rnacentral:lncRNA from 1 species